UUUUUAUCUAUUGUAUUUUCUUUAUUAUUUUGUAUUACAUUACAGUAUUGUAAUCAUUUUUAUAUGAAUAUUUUUGGGUUGUGGAACGAAUCAUCUGAGUUUCCAUUAUUUCUUAUGGGGAAAUUUGCUUUGAUAUACAAGUGCUUUGGAUUACAAGCAUAUUUCUGGAAUGAAUUAUGCUCACAAACCAAGGCUUUACUGUAUCUAUGGUAAUCAAACCCAUAAAAGUAGAAUAGUUAGGGGCGCCUGGCUGGCUCAGUUGGCAGAGCAUAAUCUUAAUCUCAGGAUUAUAAAUUCAAGCUCCACAUUCGGUGUCUUUACACUUAAAUCCCUUUACUUAAAUAAAAUAUUAAAAAUAUUUAGAGGUGCCCAGGUGGCUCAGUUGAUUAAGCAUCUGACUUCAGCUCAAGUCAUGAUCUCACAGCUCAUGAGUUCCAGCCCCCACUGUCAGUGCAGAGCCUGCUUGGGACUCUCUCUUUCUUGGCCAAUCUCUCUCUCUCUCUCUCUCUCUCUCUCUCUCUCUCUCUGCCCCUCCCCCACUUGUGCUCUCUCCCAAAAUAAAAAAAUAAACUAAAAAAAAUUUUUUUUUAAAGUAGAAUGGUAGUUAAGGGUGUGGAGGAGGGUUGGGGGAGAAGGGAUUAGUGUUUAAUGGGUAAUGAGUUUCAGUUUUACAAGAUAAAAAAGUUGUAGAGAACUGUUACACAAUAAUACACACAUAACACUACUAUCCUAUACUUUUUUUAACAUACUGUACUAUGUUUUACACUUUAAAAAUGGUUAGAAUGGUAAAUUUUAUGUUAUCUUUUUCACAAUAAAACAAACAAACCAAUAACAAAAACAAAAAAUUACAAUUAAAGGUUGCAAAGUUCCAGGCUAAUUCAUAAAGAGUUCCUAAUGUCAAUAUGGGAAAACAACACGUAUUAGCUGUACAGUGAGUUAUCAAAUUUACAGUGUUCUGUUUAGAGUGAAGUUUCAACUUUUUCUGAUGACACAGUAAUUACUGGUAAGCUGAAUGCCUGAAAUCUGCAGGGCACAAAAUAAAUGAAACUGCACAGAAUUAUAAAAUACAGCUCUAGUCUACUGGUGCUGAGACUGUUGAUUGUUCCAUCAUGGAUGGAGUUUUCAGGGUUCAGUAACCUAGAACUACUGAGGGUUAGCUAGAGUUUAGAAAAGAAAUCAUGACCUUAAAUGAAUAUAGCCAAACUUUCAGGUCCAAUCUAGUCUAAAUCAAAACCAAUUUCAUCCAAUGUGAAGCUUUUCCCCUGAUACCAGUGUAAGGACAGGGCAGGGGUCAGAGAGUGGCAGGAGGCAAGCGUGAAGAAAAGGAAACAGAGAAGUCUAUCCAAUCGUCUGUGGUCCCCUGGCCUGUAAAACAGCUGCCAGUUGCAGGAGUUCAAAUGCAGGCAAUGGGGGCCCUUGGCUCAUCUCUCACCACCUCCUCUCAGCUCCUGCCCCUGUAGUUCACCCACAACUUCUUUCUGCUGGGGUCCUACACAGCUGGCCCGGCAGGCUGUCUUUGUACCAGGGAAAGUCUUUCAAGAUGAUUCACAGCUGCCCUCCAGGCAGACCUCCUGGCCAGCAGGAAACGUCAAGCAUUUGCUGUCCCCUCUCCACACACUAACCUCCCACCCCCCAGGGUAGCUCCAGCCACAACGUUGCUUUCAGUAUCUGUGCUCACAAACAUCUCCAAACUCCAGGAGAGACACACUACAGUCUCAACAACUCUUCCAUAGGAUUCCAUUUUAAUCCCAUACAUACCAGCUCAGACCUCUCUCAAAUGACUGGGAGGAGGAUAGAGAGAGGGGACUCUCACUUCCCCCAGGGAAGAACACUCUCUACUCCUAGGAGUUCCUUGCAUGGAAUCCAUUUCUAGUCUCCCUGACACAGCCUGGGUUAUAGGGUGGAGGGCAUAAUAGUUGUUAAACCCAUUUGGCCAUCGCUUGACAAACCCUGCAAUGGAUGAUUCUAGAGUCUCUCUUCAGACAAUGUGUGUACUUAACACCUACUGGCAACAGCUUUGGGACCUGGAUCAAAAUUUUAGACAACAGGAAAACUCCGAUUUAACCUGCUGUAAUAUAUCUGUAUAAUAAUAGGAGAGAAAAACCAUAAGGACUCCAUCAAACUGAGGUACUUUGUUAUCAGGUGCCCAAGGUACCUCCAUGAGGCCUAAAAUUCCUCAGAGGACAAUGUGAAAUUCAACUCUACUAAAGUCAAAUAACAGCACAAACAAGCACAGAAGAAGAUAUCAACACUAAACACAAACCGUUGAUUGGCAGGCUGUGUCACCAUGCAAAAGCUUGGACUGUCUGCCACCCAAUGCUGAAAAGUUCUGAUUAUGUGCACAAAGGUGGUUAGAGGUAUCAGUGCAAAAUAUACAAAAGUAAAGGCUAGGCCCAUGUUCAAGUAAGACUAUGCAGGAAGGAAAUCCUGGUAAUUUUACUAAUAACUCUGCCACUAACUGUCUCUGCAUUUUAGAACUUUCUCUCCCGAUUCAAACUCCAGGGUAAGAGCAGUCAGAGGGCUGGGCCUAAGUAGUGAACCCAUGCCAUAACUCCUAGGAGGCGAGAACAGGAAACCCUCAUUUUAAUGAGGUAGUGCGGGACAAGCUGAGGGCGAAGUACAGGGUAACAGCACCUCCCCCUGCCCAGGUGGGAUAUGUGUGAUAUUCCUCGGACACUCCUGGCUGGCUGCCCAAGAGUAGGGGAAAGGGAAGAAAGCAGAUGGUUGACUGAUAGAAAUCACAGUCAUGCAAGACAGGAGUCUCCUUCAGUUUACUGAUAACUUAGUAAACAUAACUUAGUAAACGGCAAGAAAAAGGCAAUCUUAUCCAUAGCCUAAUCUCCAGAAACCUAUAGACUCUGUUUCCUGGAGCCCUAAUAUCACCCUCAUCAAGAUGUAAGGGGGUUUAAGUGCUUAUGUGGGAAACACAGGCAAAUGAAAAAUUAAAUUCCCUUACUGCCUACAGCUCAUCGACAAGUCCUUGAAACAGGCAGUGACCUUCCUCUAGGAGCUCAGCUGCCUCAAUGAUGACACUUUGCUAGGGGCAAAAGGGGAUCUUCGCUUAACAUUAUCCUGACCCCCCAGGAUCCUGUGAGUCUCCUUAAACAUAUAAAAAUUCCUUUGCAAGCCUCCUUUAUCUUUAACCCCCAAUUAUAUGUUGGUAAUUAUACUCCAAGCAUAUGGCCUGGUAAUACAUCUGAAGGGUCUCAUGACUGAGGUUUUACUAAACAGUAAUAAAUGGUGUUUUUCUAACAACAGCUAGUCCCUCAAGGUCCUGGAAACCUUGCUUCCAAAAUUCCUCAGAGACUUAUGCUGCCCUUAACCAACCCCCCCCCCCGCCCCCGUAACCUUAAGGUAUAUAAGCAGCCCCUCUUCACAACCCCAGUGCAGGUCUUUCUGCCCGUGGGUCCUGUCCCCAUGCUUUAAUAAAAUCACUUUUGCACCAAAGAUGUCUUCAAGAAUUCUUUCUUGGCUGUCAGAUCCGAACCCCACCAUCACCCCCAAAGCCCCAUCAAUUUGACCUACACCGACUUCCAAGCAGAAGGUAAACCCUACCACAGCCCACCAGUAUGCAACCUAUAGUGGACAUCUUUAAAGAACUCAGAAUAUAAGUCAAAACAAAACAACACUGGCAAUGAUAAACAAUGUUAUUUCUGGCAGUCCACAUUACAUGCCAGUAUCAUUUUGUCUAAAAAAUAAUUUAUAAAAAGCAUAUUACCACCACAGUCUGCCAUCAUCAGUCAGAGUUAACAAAAAAUGAAAGCUCCCAGAAGGGCUAAGAUCAUUAAUGCAAUCCUGAUAACAAAGACGCCAGGAGAUUAUUUAAUUUUUUAUGUCAUAUCAUGUUAAUUGUCAUGUUUAAAUUUGUAAAUUGUUGCUUGUUUAAAAUCCAUUUGUUAAAAUAAUAAAUAAUGCAUGUUGUAACAUAUUAGUAAAAUUACUAUUUUUUAAAGCAUCACAGGCACAGAUGAGUAAGCAUUUCAGUGCAACUGCUCAUACCAUUCAGGGAAAGACAAGAGGAUCUGAUUAAGUUACAUCAUGGCAAAAAAAAGCAAGUUGCUACCACAUUUCCCUACUGCAAACUGACCCUCUACAUUUCAGAUUCCUAAGGUCAGCUCAGCUCAGCAAGGCACCUGGGGAGCCCAAGCCAGAAUCCAGAAAGGAGGCUCCCUACCCAAAGCAGCGCUUGAAGUAGUAGCAUCAGCUAACAUGGAGGUUGAGCUGGCAAUGGAAAGGUAGCCAGGUUUAAAAGAAGGCUGUAAGGAAUUGCCAGGACAAAAGAUUUUCCAGAUCAUGGUAGAGCAAAGGGAAUAUGGAUCACAGCUUUGCUUAAACAAUGUUCACCCAUUUUUAUCUCUCACUAACUUUACUCUGUACAUCUUUCAUGAUCAAUUUCUCCUCUUCAUGCAGGAGUCCGUUCUUUACUUUCAUUAGGCAGGGGUAAAUACUAGCAUCUCCUUUGAAAGUGAAGUGGUUAUUUGCAAAUGCAGGCAGGCAGAGAGAAAAAACAAAGUUUGUAGUACGUGCAAGAAACUCCUAUGUUCCACAUACUUUUAACAUAAAAUUUAAACCUAUAUCAUAAACCCUUAGAAAAUGAACUUGAAGUGACUGAAUUAAAUAAAAGCUAAACCAGUGAUGUUACAAAAAUACCUGGUAACCCAAAGAUUAAAUGUAAAACAUGAGCCUACUGAGUCAAGGUCAAACUCCUAAACCUGACAUUCUCAGCUCUCUGUGAUCUGGUCAUAAGCUACCUGUUUAAAUCUUACUUCCUACUGCUUCCCUUUUAUAUACCUGUUCUAUAUGCCCGUUUGUGUGCCUGUACCAAGGAAACUGUACUGCUCACACAGUUGCUCAUAUUCUCCUUUGUGCCUCCGUUCACAGUGGUGAGCCCUCCUUCCUUUCCUUUGCAUCCCUCCUUAAAAAUCCAAAUUCUACUACCCCAAAUGACACCUUGGCCAAGAAGUCUUCCUGGAUUUUCCAGCGACUGCUCUUUCCUUCCUCUGGCUCCCACAGCUCUGGCUGUUCUCUUAUAAUAGACUACACUCUGUACCUUUUUAAUAGGCAUCUUUGUUUAUAACAUCACUACUAAACUUUCAGUGUGUAUCUUCACAACACAGCUCUCACUUACGGGGAGACACCCAUACAAUACCCUGUUUACAUAGAAGGGUCCCAGGGUCCAGCCUUCAGGGCACAACACAUCAAAUCCCUCACCUAUGGCAGGUCAUCUUCUGCCUGCUUUGUUACACCUCGCAGAUAUAAAAACCCAUUUAACUACUUUGGCUCUUCCCCACUAAGGUUCAGUUCUCUACCAAGACAAUCCAUUCUCCUUUCGAUGUCGUUGGUAACGUUCCUUCGUUUGGCCUAUCUUCUGCCUCACCAUACAAUUUCCUCAUCCAAACAGUGGAUGGGAUACCACCGACUGGGUUUGCCAGAGGGAAGCCCCAAUAGGUAGAUGGGGAACCCUGCAGUAAUUACCCCUGGCUAACCAGGCACCACCUUAUAGAUUGAAACCUUCAGCCUCUUCACAUAGACAGUGGAGGUUAAGAUGGAGCACUGGCCCUGGGCUCUAGAGUCUUGUUCCCCCUUGGACCUCAGCACACAAUUCUCUCUCAUUGAAUCUUAAAGCUACUUAGCUUUUUAAUGGAGCUGAACAAUCUCUUAGCUGUCUGGGCCUUAAAGUUCUCAGAUGAAGCUCAGUAUCAAGUAUAAGGUCAGAGGUAGAGAGAUAUGGUUCAGAGAAGGGAAUUCAUUUUCACUGUUAAAAAUUUUUUUUCAAAUAAUACAUAUAAUACAGGUGAAGUCAAGUGUCUAUUGACAUCUCCUCAAUCCCAUCUCAGUCCUUCCCAAGAGUCCUUUAUCAAUGCAUUUAUGUAUCAUUGGCCAUUUAAUCUUAUCACUUAGAAUAUACAUUAUGCUUCACCAAGAAAGAAAAAAAGUUUAACUAUUAAACCAUGCCACAUUUGUUAGAUAUACUGAUUUUAGAAAUGUUGACAUGUGAAAAACAUGCUUUAGAAUCCAUGAAAAGCAUGGAUUGAAUUGAAAUGAUUUUAUACAGAGAUUUCACACGCACAACACAUACAGAAUCUAUAAAAUACAAUACAUAUAGAAAUAUAUCUAGUUUUGCAGGUUUUUUUUUUUACAUGAAUGUGGUAUUUCUAUAAUUUAUUUUUCUCAGUAAAAAUAUAUCAGGGGGAGUUUCCCACAUCAGCUGCCUACCAAUCUACAUUUUUUUAGGUGUUGCAUAAUAUUCCAUAUGCUGGCUAUACCACCAUGUAUUUAAUUAUUCCAUAUUUUAACUAUUACUAACAAUGAUGGGAUGAGAGUGUACACAUGUGUAUAUUGCUAGACACAGAAUUACUGAAUCAAAGAUACCUGGCCUUAUUUACAUAAAUAGUGCCAAGCUGCCCUCCCAAAAAGGUCUGAACAAAUACAUUCACCAUAUAUAAAUGAUACCCAUUUUCCUCAGUUAUCAAAACAGAUUAUUAAUCUUUUUAAUUUCUGCCAAUCUAAUGGGAGAAAAUAAUAUCGCAUUGUUUUGCAGAAGGCUCCUUAUAUUCUCUGUAUUUAUCUUUUGUCUAUUACACAUGGCCUAUUUUCUCCCAGUCUCCCAUUUAUCUUUUAAUUAUAUUUGCACUUUUGUCUUUAGUGAUACAGACAUUCCAAAUCUUUAAAAAGUCAAAUUUACCCAUCUUUUCUCAUCUGUACUCGGGAUUACCUUACUUUUGGAAAUAUUUUCUUCUAAUAGUUAACCCAUUCUUUGCAAACUCCACUGAUGUUCUGGCCUGACAGUGCUUGGGGUACUCUCACAACCCAUACACUGGAAAAUUUCUACAGUUAUCCCCAGCCCGCCUCUGAAAGGGGCAGGUGCCAGUCAGUGCUCUGCCAGCCUGUGGGUACUAUUUCAGGAAGGACUAGCCAGUUCCCUUCCUUACUGUCUGAAGCAGAAGCCUAACCCAUUCCAGGCAAUGUGCGCCAACCCAUUCCAGGCUACAUGUGUCAGCCUAGCCAGGCUGACAUCAUGGCCCAAGGCCAGACACCAAGGACCAAGCACAGAGAGGCAAGCAUCCCACUAUUCAUGGCUGAGAUCCUGAGCCAAUAGUGUCUGGUCACUCGUGUGAAGACUGUUAACCCAUCUCCCCAUUUUCUCUCAGUCUCAGAUAUAAGAGACUGCCUGCAGAACUACUGUAUCCCUGACCUGGCAAAAACAAACCCCAGAGCAUUGGGUAACUCUGCUGACUCGAUCCUGACAGGCCCAGCCGCCAAGACACAGUCCACGUGACACAAAUCCCCUGUCCCAGGGAGCAGAGGGGAAAAGGAGGGCUCUUCUCCUUCUACAUCUGCACAAUAAGAUCAGAUCAAUAAUUCCUCUGUGUCCAGCUCACCACUGUUUACACAGUCUCCCUUUCUUAAUCUAUAACCUACUGCUCCAGCCUGUCUGAGCUUCACCCUUCAGGCCCUCACAACUCACCCAACUGCCAGAAAGAGGGCCCAGGACAGUUGGGUUCCGAGUUCCCUGACUCCAAGCAGUGUUCAGUGAGCUCUGGUUAGUGGCUCAGUAGGAAGCACAGGGUUGUAGAUGGGUCAUAGACUGGUGGGAACAUACACUUCUCUGCUAUAAGUUCAUGAUUUAUUUAGCUAAAAACACAGAGCAUGUAAGGUGGCUAUUCAGUAGCAGUAGAUGCAACCUAUUUUUCUGUGGCUUUUCCUUCGCCCUUGGGUUUCCAACUAAGAGCACAGCAAAGUGAACUCAGGUAGGGUCUUGCCAGUUGGGAGGGGGAAAAAAACUGGAUUCUUACUGUGACUUUUAAAAAUCUGGCUUGUCUAACAAUCUCUGUAUUUCUGUUUAAGGGAAUAUUUACCUCCAUUAGACACUCUUGGUUGUUGAGCCAAACUCAGCAUUAUCAAGAAUUCCUCCUCACCUAGAUGAUAAGACUAUGGCUCCAAGAUAAAGUGAAAGACCCAAAGUCACGUAGUUUGAAGGUGGAGGAGCCAGUAUCCAAAUCCAGUAUCAGCCGGAAGACUGCCCCUGCCUCUGCCCCAGGGCUAUGGGGAAUGGACUAGGAUGUCCUAAAACGUGCAACAUCUGCCUAAAUGAGGAGAGGGUAAUUCGAGGCUACACAGUGGCACAUGCAUCUUUAUCAUGGUUUCUUUUAAAAAAAUAUUUUUCAAACAAGUUUGAUUUUAUUACAAAGAGGCUUUACUCUUAAAGACUUAAAAAUUUAUAUGUAUUAGAUAAUCAGGUAUCCUGUGGAUAAAAGUGAAAUUUCUUAAUGUUAAUUAUUUUAUUUUUAAAAUAUU